GAUGAACGCUGGCGGCGUGCCUAAUACAUGCAAGUCGAGCGAACAGGCUAGGGGCUUGCUCCUCCGACAUUAGCGGCGAACGGGUGAGUAACACGUGGGUAACCUACCUUUAAGCCUGGGAUAACUUUGGGAAACCGGAGCUAAUACCGGAUAAAAAAUUGAACCGCAUGGUUCAAUAGUGAAAGAAGGUAUUGCAGUACCUCAUAAAUGUACCACGUUGGGUUAGGUAGUUGGUAAGGGAAAGGCUUACCAAGGCAAUGAUGCGUAGCCGACCUGAGAGGGUGAUCGGCCACACUGGAACUGAGACACGGUCCAGACUCCUACGGGAGGCAGCAGUAGGGAAUCUUCCGCAAUGGGCGAAAGCUUGACGGAGCAACGCCGCGUGAGUGAUGAAGGUCUUCGGAUCGUAAAACUCUGUUAUUAGGGAAGAACAAAUGUGUAAGUAACUAUGCACGUCUUGACGGUACCUAAUCAGAAAGCCACGGCUAACUACGUG
rnacentral:rRNA from 1 species